rnacentral:rRNA from 1 species
AGAGUUUGAUCCUGGCUCAGGAUGAACGCUAGCUACAGGCUUAACACAUGCAAGUCGAGGGGAAACGACAUCGAAAGCUUGCUUUUGAUGGGCGUCGACCGGCGCACGGGUGAGUAACGCGUAUCCAACCUGCCCAUCACUUGGGGAUAACCUUGCGAAAGUAAGACUAAUACCCAAUGACGUCUCUAGAAGACAUCUGAAAGAGAUUAAAGAUUUAUCGGUGAUGGAUGGGGAUGCGUCUGAUUAGCUUGUUGGGCGGGGUAACGGCCCACCAAGGCGACGAUCAGGUAGGGGUUCUGGAGAGGAAGGUCCCCCGACAUUGGAACUGAGACACGGUCCAACUCCGUACGGGAAGCA